rnacentral:rRNA from 1 species
AUAACAUAUAAAACUUAAAUUUUAGGUGAAGAUGCCUAAAUGAAAUAGAAAGACAAGAAGACCCUAUAGAGUUUUAGUUAGAAAUAUUAUUCUAUUAUAUAAUAACUUUGGUUGGGGCGACCUAGGAUUUCAAUAAACAUCCUAUUAUACAAAGAUUUAUAAAUCUCAUCAAUAGACCCUAUAACGGAUUAUCAGAAAUAACUACCUUAGGGAUAACAGGCUUGUCUUCCUAGUGAGCUCUUAUUGAUAGGAGGGUUUGGCGCCUCGAUGUUGGCUUAGAGUAACUAAAUACCGCAGCAGGUAUUAAAAGUCAGUUUGUUCAACUGUUAAUUCUCU